AUUGCGCGGCGCAUAGUUGAUGAAGGCGAAGCCGCGCGUCUGGUCGAUGAUGUGAAACAGGGGGUUCCAGGCAAAGAUCUGCAGCAUCGCGCCCGGCAUGGUGUUGGCGACGAACAUCUUGCCGGAAAACACCAUGUUGAUGCGCUG
rnacentral:ncRNA from 1 species